AAGAGCUUGGCGGGCCGCGAUCACUGCAGGCCCCCGGGAAAGCAGACCGGCCAUCGACCCAGCGGGACCACGGAUCGGCGGAGGGAGCAGCGCCGGGGUGCACGCUUGGCACCAUGGCCCAGACGCCAGCUUUCGACAAGCCCAAAGUAGAACUGCACGUCCAUCUGGAUGGAGCCAUCAAGCCUGAAACCAUCUUAUAUUAUGGCAGGAAGCGGGGCAUCACCCUCCCUGCCGACACACCAGAGGAGCUGCAGGACAUCAUCGGCAUGGACAAGCCGCUCAGCCUCCCGGGCUUCCUGGCCAAGUUCGCCUACUACAUGCCCGCCAUCGCGGGCUGCCGGGAGGCCAUCAAAAGGACUGCCUAUGAGUUUGUGGAGAUGAAGGCCAAGGAGGGCGUGGUGUACGUGGAGGUGCGCUACAGCCCGCACCUGCUGGCCAACUCCAAAGUGGAGCCGAUCCCCUGGAACCAGGCUGAAGGGGACCUCACCCCGGAUGAGGUGGUGUGUCUAGUGGACCAGGGCCUGCAAGACGGAGAGCGGGACUUCGGGGUGAAGGUGCGGUCCAUCCUGUGCUGCAUGCGCCACCAGCCCAACUGGUCCCCCGAGGUGGUGGAGCUGUGUAAGAAGUACCGGCAGCAGACCGUGGUGGCCAUCGACCUGGCCGGAGAUGAGACCAUCCAAGGCAGCACCCUCUUCCCUGAACAUGUGCAGGCCUACGCGGAGGCCGUGAAGAGCGGCGUCCACCGCACGGUCCACGCUGGGGAGGUGGGCUCGGCCGAGGUGGUGAGAGAGGCCGUGGACGUGCUCAAGACCGAGAGGCUGGGGCACGGCUACCACACUCUGGAGGACCCGGCCCUCUACAACAGGCUGCGGCAGGAAAACAUGCACUUCGAGGUCUGCCCCUGGUCCAGCUACCUCACCGGCACCUGGAAGCCAGGCACGGAGCAUGCAGUCGUUCGGUUCAAAAACGAUCAGGCUAAUUACUCCCUCAACACGGAUGACCCACUCAUCUUCAAGUCCACCCUGGACACUGAUUACCAGAUGACCAAACAGGACAUGGGCUUCACUGAAGAGGAGUUUAAGAGACUGGCCACUCAGAGACCCCAGGAUGAGCCCUUGAUUACCGUGGUUCUGACAUCCCAAGUCUGUCCCUGCAGGACUGUCUCUCUGGCGCCACACAUCCCACCCCGUCUCUCAAAGGUUUCUCCAACCUCCCUGCCACAUCUGUGUAUCACGUCGUGCCACGUUAAGAACCCAGAACCUCACAGUCUCUGCUCUGGCAGGUGCUGCCGCGUGACCUUGGACAAGGCCUCGCCACUCUGAGCUUAAUGAAUUGCCCAUGUUUAAUGGACUGUCACUAGAUUGCUAAGGACUCCCUCCUAUGCUCUCUGGUUUCACACUGUCUGCCGUGCUGGCCCUUCCAGAACAUCAAUGCGGCAAAGUCCAGUUUCCUCCCAGAAGAUGAGAAGAGGGAGCUUCUUGAUCUGCUCUAUAAAGCCUACGGGAUGCCACCUUUGGCCUCUGCAGGGCAGUGUCCCUGAAGACAUCGUGGCCACCUCUCAGAGUCCUCACCCUGUGGAUGGAGUCCUCACAACUCCCUUUACUCCUUCCAGGGAGACUAUGAUUUCCAGAGUCAGCUACUGACGCUCGUGAAGCCCACAUGCCUGUUUCUGUACACACAUAUACCUCCGCCUGGCCGUGUCUCUCCUCUGAUUGUGUGCCCGGGCCAGGAUCAGGGCCUGUGGCUGGUUGAAUCUGAAUCCCUCCCUCCUCUGGUAACCUGUGCUGAAAAUCUGGUGCUUAAUAAAGAAAACAACAGCUGGG